UUGACCUCAAAUCAGGUAGGAUUACCCGCUGAACUUAAGCAUAUCAAAA
rnacentral:rRNA from 1 species